CCCAUAUGGGAUUUUUGCUGGAAGAGAUGCAUCCCGAGGUCUUGCCACUUUCUGCCUGGGUAAGGAGACUCUGAGGGAUGACUAUGAUGACCUUUCUGAUCUCAACGCUACACAGCAAGAGACCUUGAGGGACUGGGAGUCACAGUUCACUUUUAAGUAUCACCAUGUUGGUAAACUGCUGAAGGAAGGGGAGGAACACACUGUAUACUCUGAUGAAGAAGAAAAAGAUGCCCAGGAUGCAAAGAAAGACUAGAGAGUGCAGUGAGGAACAAUCUAAUUUUGAAUCAUAAAGGAUCAUUUGUAACAUUCCACUUCUGUUUUACAAGGUGCAACAGCAGCAGUGCUUACAAAAGGUCCAGAGUUACAGUGAAUUGUUUCUUUUCAAAGGUUUCCUUUUCAAAUUCAGUGGUAAACUACUAAAGGUCUAAGAUGUCUUCCUUUAAACCUACAUAAUCUGAAGUAUGCACAAAAAAAGGUCUGUGCAAAAGUAAACUGCAAUUUUGGCAAUAAAGGACUCUUACUGCUUCUCUUUUAUCACUAUUUAGUGCAGAGUAGGUUGAAAUCCAGUUUUUCAUUAACAACCUAGCACUGUGGACGCAAGCACAAGAGUAACUUCACAUAUGCAACACAAAUUCCACUAAAUCUUGUUUUAACUUCUGCAAGGUCUGGUCUUUGGGUUGUUAUUCCUUUAGAAAAGGGACUAUAUUUUAUUUGUCCAUGAAGGAUCAUACUCAUUUGUGGUGCACUGUAAUUCAAUAUCGCAUAAGAUAAUUUGGCUUUUAAGGAGUUACAUAGUGGCUUACAGAUGAAACACUAACUGCUUUA